rnacentral:rRNA from 1 species
AUUGAACGCUGGCGGCAUGCCUUACACAUGCAAGUCGAACGGCAGCGCGGACUUCGGUCUGGCGGCGAGUGGCGAACGGGUGAGUAAUACAUCGGAACGUACCCUGUUGUGGGGGAUAACUAGUCGAAAGGUUAGCUAAUACCGCAUACGACCUGAGGGUGAAAGUGGGGGAUCGCAAGGCCUCACGCAGCAGGAGCGGCCGAUGUCUGAUUAGCUAGUUGGUGGGGUAAAGGCCCACCAAGGCGACGAUCAGUAGCUGGUCUGAGAGGACGAUCAGCCACACUGGGACUGAGACACGGCCCAGACUCCUACGGGAGGCAGCAGUGGGGAAUUUUGGACAAUGGGGGCAACCCUGAUCCAGCAAUGCCGCGUGUGUGAAGAAGGCCUUCGGGUUGUAAAGCACUUUUGUCCGGAAAGAAAUCGCGCUGGUUAAUACCUGGCGUGGAUGACGGUACCGGAAGAAUAAGCACCGGCUAACUACGUG